CUACGGGUCGCUGCAGUGAGGAAUAUUGGACAAUGGGCGAGAGCCUGAUCCAGCCAUGCCGCGUGCAGGAAGACUGCCCUAUGGGUUGUAAACUGCUUUUAUACGGGAAGAAACACCGCUACGUGUAGCGGCUUGAUGGUACCGUAAGAAUAAGGAUCGGCUAACUCCGUGCCAGCAGCCGCGGUAAUACGGAGGAUCCAAGCGUUAUCCGGAAUCAUUGGGUUUAAAGGGUCCGUAGGUGGAUAAUUAAGUCAGAGGUGAAAUCCUGCAGCUCAACUGUAGAAUUGCCUUUGAUACUGGUUGUCUUGAGUUAUUAUGAAGUAGUUAGAAUAUGUAGUGUAGCGGUGAAAUGCAUAGAUAUUACAUAGAAUACCAAUUGCGAAGGCAGAUUACUAAUAAUGAACUGACACUGAUGGACGAAAGCGUGGGGAGCGAACAGGAUUAGAUACCCCAGUAGUC
rnacentral:rRNA from 1 species